rnacentral:misc_RNA from 1 species
GUUUUGCUCCUAAAUUUUCUGAUAUUAGCCGAGCUGUGGACUUCAUUCACAGAAAUGCAUCAUCUGGUAAAACAACAUAUGUCCAUUGUAAAGCAGGACGAGGAAGGAGCACGACCAUUGUGCUUUGCUAUUUGGUCAAAUAUAAGCACAUGACCCCAUCUGCUGCACUGGAAUAUGUCCGCUCUAGAAGGCCACGUGUGUUACUUGCCCCCUCACAGUGGGAGGCUGUUCAAGAAUACAGCAACCGUGGACCGGUCACAAGUUCUAGUUCACCCUCAGGAG